UGGCAACACUUCUGUCGGCGACCGGCGCACGGGUGAGUAACGCGUAUGCAACCUGCCCUUCACAGGGGGAUAACCGGUGGAAACGCCGACUAAUCCACGAUGGGACGAGUUGCUGCAUGGCAUUUAUAUCAAAGAUUUAUCGCUGAAAGAUGGCCUCGCGUCUGAUUAGCUAGUUGGUGAGGUAACGGCCCACCAAGGCGACGAUCAGUAGCCGGACUGAGAGGUUGAACGGCCACAUUGGGACUGAGAUACGGCCCAGACUCC
rnacentral:rRNA from 1 species